rnacentral:rRNA from 1 species
CAGAUGUGCCCAGAUGGGAUUAGCUUGUUGGUGAGGUAACGGCUCACCAAGGCGACGAUCCCUAGCUGGUCUGAGAGUGACCAGCCACACUGGAACUGAGACACGGUCCAGACUCCUACGGGAGGCAGCAGUGGGGAAUAUUGCACAAUGGGCGCAAGCCUGAUGCAGCCAUGCCGCGUGUAUGAAGAAGGCCUUCGGGUUGUAAAGUACUUUCAGCGGGGAGGAAGGUGUUGGUUAAUAACCGCAGCAAUUGACGUUACCCGCAGAAGAAGCACCGGCUAACUCCGUGCCAGCAGCCGCGGUAAUACGGAGGGUGCAAGCGUUAAUCGGAAUUACUGGGCGUAAAGCGCACGCAGGCGGUCUGUCAAGUCGGAUGUGAAAUCCCGGCUCAACCUGGGAACUGCAUUCGAAACUGGCAGGCUUGAGUCUUGUAGAGGGGGGUAGAAUUCCAGGUGUAGCGGUGAAAUGCGUAGAGAUCUGGAGGAAUACCGGUGGCGAAGGCGGCCCCCUGGACAAAGACUGACGCUCAGGUGCGAAACUGGGGAGCAAACAGGAUUAGAUACCCUGGUAGUCCACGCCGUAAACGAUGUCUACUUGGAGGUUGUGCCCUUGAGGGGGCUUCCGGAGCUAACGCGUUAAGUAGACCGCCUGGGGAGUACGGCCGCAAGGUUAAAACUCAAAUGAAUUGACGGGGGCCCGCACAAGCGGUGGAGCAUGUGGUUUAAUUCGAUGCAACGCGAAGAACCUUACCUGGUCUUGACAUCCACAGAAAUCCAGAGAUGGAUUUGUGCCUUCGGGAACUGUGAGACAGGUGCUGCAUGGCUGUCGUCAGCUCGUGUUGUGAAAUGUUGGGUUAAGUCCCGCAACGAGCGCAACCCUUAUCCUUUGUUGCCAGCGAUUAGGUCGGGAAC